rnacentral:rRNA from 1 species
AUGGUAUGCACAUCACUGGGAUUCAGGUUACCGUCGGAGGCAAUCUUAUUUGAUGAAGGUUGGCAGUCUCUGUCGCCAAUAGCAAGCUUACCCUUCAUCAAUGAUGGUGACUCUAAUGGUGGUUUAGGCAAAGAGAUGCCUGGUUACAAAGCUGAGCUGAAAGAUUUAGGUGUCACAACAGAAGUGAAAGCUCAUGGUGCUAGGUUUGUCAUCAAUGGUCUCAAGAUUCCUGCAGACCCUGCAGCCAUAUCUGCCGCUACCGUGUUGUCAUUGCUUGGGUGUGUCAAGAGCUGGCUGGCCUGUGUAGCAACAUUUCCCAAGGAAUUUAUGGAGGAAAUGACUAGCUGCAAGUGGUUGAAGACAACAUUUGGAUACCAAUCUCCUGAUGGAUGCAUACUCUUUGAUCCAAAGCAGUCUUCCAUGUGCGUAAUAGAUGGCCCUUUCAUCGAUGAAUCUUUCUAUGGUUCAGACAUCGCCUCAUUCAAGGGUGCACUUGCGGCAAUCGGGUAA